rnacentral:rRNA from 1 species
GAGGGCCCUCUGGGUCCAACCUCCCACCCGUGUUUAUUUUACCUUGUUGCUUCGGCGGGCCCGCCUUAACUGGCCGCCGGGGGGCUUACGCCCCCGGGCCCGCGCCCGCCGAAGACACCCUCGAACUCUGUCUGAAGAUUGUAGUCUGAGUGAAAAUAUAAAUUAUUUAAAACUUUCAACAACGGAUCUCUUGGUUCCGGCAUCGAUGAAGAACGCAGCGAAAUGCGAUACGUAAUGUGAAUUGCAAAUUCAGUGAAUCAUCGAGUCUUUGAACGCACAUUGCGCCCCCUGGUAUUCCGGGGGGCAUGCCUGUCCGAGCGUCAUUUCUGCCCUCAAGCACGGCUUGUGUGUUGGGCCCCGUCCUCCGAUCCCGGGGGACGGGCCCGAAAGGCAGCGGCGGCACCGCGUCCGGUCCUCGAGCGUAUGGGGCUUUGUCACCCGCUCUGUAGGCCCGGCCGGCGCUUGCCGAUCAACCCAAAUUUUUAUCCAGGUUGACCUCGGAUCAGGUAGGGAUACCCGCUGAA